AAUUGAAGGCUGAAAUUCGCCUUCAUGAAGUCGGAAUUGCUAGUAAUCGCGGAUCAGCAUGCCGCGGUGAAUACGUUCCCGGGCCUUGUACACACCGCCCGUCACACCAUGAGAGUCGGUAACACCCGAAGUCAGUAGUCUAACCGCAAGGAGGACGCUGCCGAAGGUGGGAUUGAUGAUUGGGGUGAAGUCGUAACAAGGUAUC
rnacentral:rRNA from 1 species